rnacentral:rRNA from 1 species
GACGAACGCUGGCGGCGUGCUUAACACAUGCAAGUCGAACGAAGUGGCGAACGGGUGAGUAAUACGUGAGUAACCUGCCCUCCUUGUUGGGGUAAGCCUUGGAAACGGGGUCUAAUACCGAAUAAAGGGGGAGGGGCUCGAGGCCUAUCAGCUGGUUGGUGGGGUGAUGGCCUACCAAGGCGGUGUCGGUUAGCCGGCCAGAGAGGGUGACCGCCGACAUGGGGACUGAGAUACAGCCCGGAAUACUACGGGAGGCGGCAGUGGGGGAUGUUGCACAAGGGGGGAAAGGCUGAAGCAGCGAGGCCGCUAGAACGAAGAAGGCUGUCGAGUCGUAAAGUUCUUUCGGUACCAUAAGAAGAAGCCCCGGCUAACUACGUGCCAGCAGCCGCGGUAAUAC